rnacentral:lncRNA from 1 species
CCAAAUAAUCACACACAAAGCAUACAAUACUCAAAAUAAGGACAGAGUUACCCUCCUUCUUCGCGACCUGAGAAGAUCGGCCUUCAAUCAACAGAGAAAACCCUAGGUACAAAACCCUAGGUGCAACCGUCGCAAACCUUACUAGAAAUAUGGUCAGGGAUGUCGGAAAGUCACCCAAAACAUCCACUGAGUGAGGAUCGACACGAAAACUAUCUUUAAUGGGGUAGAGUUUCUUCCUUUAGAUUGAAGUAGUUAAAUAGAUCAACAAUUAUCAUUCUCAGAUAGCAGUUAAACCCUAGGUUCAACCACCAGAAACCCUAGAAGCUGAUAAGUCACCGAAAAAUCACCCAAAAAUCAUCGAAAAAUCUCCCAGAACGUUCGAGUGAAGAAGAUAUACUCAGAUAUCACGAUGAAAGUCUCAGAAAAGCAUUCAAUUUAGAUCGGAAUCGUCAUCGACCACAUAUGUCAGAAACACCCCUAAAAAUCUCAAAGGAUACUUCAACCAAGAUAACAAGAUGCAGAAAAAUAUAGUCGGAUCAUCGUCUAGGCUCUGAUACCAUGAAUACUUUGAGAUUUAAACUGAAGAAUCAUGGAGAAUAUAGUGAGAGAAUUUAGAGAGAAGGAGGAGCAGUUGAGAGAACUCUCUAGAAGAGAGAGAAUUUUAUUAAUCAGAAAAUGAAAGUAAAAUGAAGUUUGUCCACAAAAAUAUCUGUCCCCUAUACUAUAUACACGUUGCACUAUUGGGUCGGGUCGGGUGAGCCGGCCCGAAACUAAAUAACUGUUGGGCUCAGAUACACAGUCCAAUCAUCAUAGCCCAG